rnacentral:ncRNA from 1 species
CAAUCUCGCCACGUUUUUUGGCGGAUUACAUUUAGGUUAGCAGCUCUCAGCAGUAAUGUUGAGAUGAUAAGCGGGCUAAGUCAGGGAAAUCCAUCAUAAUCAAUGGUGGACAAUCCUGAGCUAGCAGUUAAAUUUUAUGUCAUUCCCGCGUCCGCCAAACAUCGCGGUCGGAUCCGCCGGCGCUUUAGUGGCGGAAAAGCGGGAAUCCAUACAUUUAAUGGGCAAGUGCAGAGACUUUACACCCGCCCUCCAUUUCUUGCUUUUGCAAGAAAGCAGUGGAGGAAGAGAAAGUCCGACUCUCCAAGAAAUUGGAGU